AGUGAACGCUGGCGGUAGGCCUAACACAUGCAAGUCGAACGGCAGCGCAGUAAGAGCUUGCUCUUACGGGUGGCGAGUGGCGGACGGGUGAGGAAUACAUCGGAAUCUACUUUUUCGUGGGGGAUAACGUAGGGAAACUUACGCUAAUACCGCAUACGACCUACGGGUGGAAGCAGGGGAUCUUCGGACCUUGCGCGAUUGAAUGAGCCGAUGUCGGAUUAGCUAGUUGGCGGGGUAAAGGCCCACCAAGGCGACGAUCCGUAGCUGGUCUGAGAGGAUGAUCAGCCACACUGGAACUGAGACACGGUCCAGACUCCUACGGGAGGCAGCAGUGGGGAAUAUUGGACAAUGGGCGCAAGCCUGAUCCAGCCAUACCGCGUGGGUGAAGAAGGCCUUCGGGUUGUAAAGCCCUUUUGUUGGGAAAGAAAAGCAGCAGGUUAAUACCCCGCUGUUCUGACGGUACCCAAAGAAUAAGCACCGGCUAACUUCGUG
rnacentral:rRNA from 1 species